UCGAGCCAUUUCAUGUUGUAGAUUAUUAGCUUGUAAGUACAAUGCAGAAUGUUGGUAGUUGUUCACUGUUUUUAUUAGUGCUUGAACAGUACAAGCACUCACUAGUCAAGUCCCAUUUGUCCAACACUUCUGAGCUGCAACAAAAGCACAUUUUUGUGGAUCCUGGUGUAAUCAAGCAUUACACAGCUGUGUGAAAUGAUUCUUAGUAUUUUACAACUGAAAUGAAACACUUCCCUGGGUUGGAAUCGAGAUCAUUUCACAAUAUUAUGAAUAAAUACAAUACAGAACGGAAGAAAGAAACAGGACAUUGAGGAACAGUAGAGAAUAUUUUGUUUGUUAACCUUCUUCAUGAUUAGACAUGAAAAAAGCACGAUUUCCUGUAUCAAAACAGAACAAAACGACACCCUGUUCAAACGGAAUCUAAUGCUAUACCAUUUAGAUUUAUAUUUGUAUCUUUUGUUUGUGUCUGUCCCUCAUCAGGCUUCUCUCUCUGACCUACAAGUGACCCAAACACGGGAGCAUGAGGACCAAGGCAGUGGCAGGAGAAAGGAGUUGCUUCAGAGGGCAGGACAUUUUCUUCACAAGUUUGUUCUUUUGGAAUGUUUUCCGAAGGCCACUGACAAUCUGGAAACCUCCCCUUCGAAGCUCCAAUUAUCCUCCACUUCCACCACAUCACACAUUGGAUCCAGUGCCAGAACUCCCCAACCCUUUUCCUCUCUACUACCAGGGGCUCUGGCAGCUGUCCUGCGUACCGCUGUUCCAUCUCCCCUGACCUCUGACCCUGGGCUGAGAAGCCGUCCUGCUGGGCAAGUUCCAGCCACUCUAGAAGACCUGAGUACAGAGCUAUGUGACUUGAGGGAGGAGAUGGAACUCAUGAAGAGCCAACAUAACAAAGAAAUUAAACUGCUGAUGAAUGAGCUGGAUGAAGAGAAGAAAAUCCGCUUGUCAUUACAGGUGGAGGUGCAACGGAUGAAGAAGAAAAUGUCCAAAUGAAAUAUGCACAAUGAGUUCAUGAGUACAGUCACAAAACAACAACUUGCUUUUCUUUCUCAGGAAAGCCCCUAUAUGAAACUCAGUCAUUAACAAGUAUU